ensembl:snRNA U6 U6 spliceosomal RNA
AUGCUCGCUUUGGCAGCACAUAUACUAAAAUUGUAAUGAUACAGAGAAGAUUAGCAUGGUCCCUGCACAAGGAUGACACGCAAAUUUGUUCCAUAUUUUU